rfam:Candidatus Yanofskybacteria bacterium RIFCSPLOWO2_01_FTLL_49_17 rifcsplowo2_01_scaffold_52706, whole genome shotgun sequence.
CGGGGCAUAGCGAAGUGGCAUCGCGCACGGUUCGGGACCGUGAGAUCCUGGGUUCAAAUCCCAGUGCCCCGA